rnacentral:rRNA from 1 species
CGGGGAGAAAGUAGAGUGGCGCACGGGUGAGUAACACGUAGGUAAUCUACCUUUGGGUGGGGAAUAACAGCCGGAAACGGCUGCUAAUACCGCAUAAUGCAGCGGCUCGACAUCGAGACAGUUGUUAAAGCGGGGGAUCGCAAGACCUCGCGCCUAAAGAGGAGCCUGCGGCAGAUUAGCUAGUUGGCAGGGUAAUGGCCUACCAAGGCAACGAUCUGUAGCCGGCCUGAGAGGGCGGUCGGCCACACUGACACUGACAUACGGGUCAGACUCCUACGGGAGGCAGCAGUCGGGAAUUUUGGGCAAUGGGCGAAAGCCUGACCCAGCAACGCCGCGUGAAGGAUGAAAUCCUUCGGGAUGUAAACUUCGCAAGAAUGGGAAGAAUAAGUAGAAGAUAAUACCUUCUAUGAUGACGGUACCAUUUGUAAGCUCCGGCUAACUCCGUGCCAGCAGCCGCGGUAAUACGGGGGGAGCAAGCGUUGUUCGGAUUUACUGGGCGUAAAGGGCGCGUAGGCGGUCACUACAAGUCAGUUGUGAAAUCUCUGGGCUUAACUCAGAACGGUCAACUGAUACUGUCGGACUAGAGUGCAGAAGGGGCAACUGGAAUUCUCGGUGUAGCGGUGAAAUGCGUAGAUAUCGAGAGGAACACCUGCGGCGAAGCGGGUUGCUGGGCUGACACUGACGCUGAGCGCGAAAGCUAGGGAGCG